CAUUCCCUGCGGUGUUCGACAGCGGGCCUACGUAUUCUUGAGCCUCAAAGAGUAGCCCCGGGGAUCCUGGUCGUAGUGGCAAGCGGUGUGCAGGUCCGCCAUGCAGCGGAAAGCCUAAGCCGCCACUCGCCAUCCCCACCUGAACCAUAGGGUUCAAGGGCGAAGCCCGCAUCGGCACAGGCGGGGAAUGU
rnacentral:other from 1 species